rnacentral:rRNA from 1 species
GAUCCUGCCUCAGGACGAACGCUGGCGGCGUGCUUAACACAUGCAAGUCGAACGGGGCGCUUAUGAUGGAGAUUUCGGUCAACGGAUUAAGUUGCCUAGUGGCGGACGGGUGAGUAACGCGUGAGUAACCUGCCUUUCAGAGGGGGACAACAGUUGGAAACGACUGCUAAUACCGCAUAAUAUAUAUGGACCGCAUGAUCUGUAUAUCAAAGAUUUAUCGCUGAAAGAUGGACUCGCG